rnacentral:rRNA from 1 species
GAGCGGAUGAAGGGAGCUUGCUCCCUGAUUCAGCGGCGGACGGGUGAGUAAUGCCUAGGAAUCUGCCUGGUAGUGGGGGACAACGUCUCGAAAGGGACGCUAAUACCGCAUACGUCCUACGGGAGAAAGUGGGGGAUCUUCGGACCUCACGCUAUCAGAUGAGCCUAGGUCGGAUUAGCUAGUUGGUGAGGUAAAGGCUCACCAAGGCGACGAUCCGUAACUGGUCUGAGAGGAUGAUCAGUCACACUGGAACUGAGACACGGUCCAGACUCCUACGGGAGGCAGCAGUGGGGAAUAUUGGACAAUGGGCGAAAGCCUGAUCCAGCCAUGCCGCGUGUGUGAAGAAGGUCUUCGGAUUGUAAAGCACUUUAAGUUGGGAGGAAGGGUUGCUGAUUAAUACUCUGCAAUUUUGACGUUACCGACAGAAUAAGCACCGGCUAACUCUGUG